rnacentral:lncRNA from 1 species
UGAUCUGCUUUCAGAAAUAGCAAAGAUGAGAAGAAGAGCAAGUGUGAGAAUGAGCAGGGCACUAUUGUUGUUGCUUGUCUUGGCCAUUGCACUAUUUGUUCUUGGAGGAAAGCAGCUAAGCCAGAUAAGAUGAGGAUACUUGCUUUCUUACUUCUGUGUUAGUGCUUCCUUAAACCCCACAUUUAUACUUUACAUUGAGGAAUGCGACCAGCAAGUAAGCCAAAAAUCAUUGUUUCCUUAGAAACAUACCCGCCCUCUUGUGACGCCAUGCGAUUUAACCAAUCAGGUACGCCGAUUUGUAUGCCCAUAACAGAUAGAUGAUCCACACACAGGUACCAGACAAAUCCAAAAUACUUAGUAAAACAUUAAGUAAAAAGUCCGACAAAUAAUUUAGUAACGCAUAAAGAAAUAGUGAGUUGCAGACUGCAGUAGUCAAUUAGUCAUUUAGUCCUCUUUCACUCAUUUGCCUAAUUAUCUGUCAUAUGUCUGAUGAGAGAGCAGACGCUUACUCACACUAGAACCUAUUUGGACUGGCAUAUUUUGGCCGACUAUAUUUUUUUUGUAAGACGAUUUAAUUCAGAACUAAACACUAACGAUUAUGCAAGCAGUUAAGACCCGGUUUAGCUGCAUUAAGUAAAUAAAACAUUUAAGACCCGGUUUAGCUGCAUCAAGUAAAUAAAACAUUUAACGUGAUUCCCAGUUCCCUGCAACAUGAUUCCGAUUUGCCCACUGUGCGAAGCAAAAGUGCGACAAAACAAGACUCAAGAGUCAGUCCCUUAAUGUCAUGUUGGUUUAUGCAAAUUGAUCAUGGAACAAUGCAACUAAUAUUAAAAAUUCACUUUUUGAAGAGAAAAAAAAUUGGAAUACAUUAUCUACAUAUUUGAAGCAGUUGACAAGAAAGGUAAUCAGUGGCUCAAGUUACAAACCAAACUCCUCAGGUCUUCUUUUGAACUUCUUUAAACACACAAAAAGUCCUUCACAGUUGCAAUAAAAAAAUAUGAAGGGCCAAGAACGAUACAUUUCAAUAAUAUUACAACAGAGCAAUAGGCACUUGAAGCAACACCAUAAAGGCAUAAACAAACAAUUUAUACUGAAUCUACUCCCUCCACCUGCUGUCGAGCAAGAUAUCUUUCUCUUCUUUCUUUCUACAAAAAAUAGAACAUAAUAACAUUAAGGAAAAAAUCCAGAAAGCAAUUUCUACAGGACUGUGAUUCGGAUUCAACAAAAACUAACCCAUUCAUCUAUGACCAGUCCUUCGCCAAUAAUCUUUGGACCUGUUUCUUCUGGAGGUUUUUUGCGAGACUCAACAGCAGCCUCAGCUUCAGCCAGCUGACGUUUUAAUUUCUCAAGAGCCUUGCAAUGAAUUAAAGGGAAUAAUUUAUACAUUAUUCAAUUCUUUUCUCUAUUUUAUAUAUUAUACAUGGUGGCUGCCUAGAGACAACUAAUUGCACAAGUUAUGCCUACAUAAGGUAUCCAUACAUGUUCACAAAAAAAAGAACAAGCAACACAAUAGAAAGGCCUGCCAAAUAAGAGCACCACUGACUCCACCCUUUUUUAUAAUGAAAGCACCAUUUUCAAUCCAUGUAGAAAAUGAAUCACGACCAUACUACUGUAUAAAUGAGUGAAUAAAAAACCCUUACAGGAGUAGGACGUUCCACAUCAAGAAAUACAACCCGUAAUAUCUGCUCAACAGCAACUUGAUCCUUUUGUUCAUCAAACUGAAAUGAAACAAGAACAGAAUCUUCACCAAGGAUGAAAGAUAAAUAUUUGAUAGCAAUGCAGAAGCCACUCCAACUCUCCUUCAAAUUUACUCAUAAUAACCGUAGUAUGCAUAUCAAAAUACUAUAUUAGUCCCAUAAUAUUCAGCUUGAGAGAUGCAAGUUUGAUGUAUAGUGGUUGCCACAUAGUACAAAAAAGAAUGAAUCAAACCAUCAUAACAGGUACAGUUCAUACCAGCUCAGGUACAUAGUCCAUCGGUCCUUUCACCUUCAGGCUCAUGAUCUUAAACUUCACCCUGCUUUUCUGAUCCAUUGGCUUUUCAUUGUUCUCCGGAUUCUCCACAAAUUUAAAUACUUUUGAUACAAAAAAAAAGUCAAAACUAACUCAAUAUACAACUUGAAGUGAAGACCAAAUAUCAAAUAUGAUUAUCUCAACAAGCUAAUUUGGACAACUCUGUAUAAUGUGGCAACUAUAACUAUGCUAUGAAAAGAAAAACAUGAAGAAAGAUCAUAAAGAAGACAUUACCAGUAGCUAUAAGACUCUCGCCAGGAGCAAGAAUUGCCCCUGGAGGACGCAUAAAACAGCUCUUUGGUGCAGUUGUUUGGAACUAAAUCACAUAAGCAAGAAGCAUUAAUCAACAAAAUUAAGGACAUUAUAGGUCAGAAAAGAAAUAUUUAUUAUGAACACAUUUACUAACACUGUAUCACUGCCCUAAAAAGAUGCAUCAUGGUCAAGAUACGGAAGGAAUACAGGUAUAAUACCUUAAAAGCUACAUGAGAUUUGCUUGUAUUUUUAAUCCCAAUCGCACUCCGGACUUGUUUGCCAGGUUCGUCUAAAAUGAUACAAAAAAAGGUUCAAAUGUAAGCACUACUACCAUAUUUAACAGCACCUCAUACAAGAAAACGUAAGCUGAAAAUUAAAUUACAGGGCUAUAAUUUUGUACUCCAAUGCAGAUAUAUGUAACAUCUACAAAAAUUCAACCCAUUCUAAAAAAGCAACAGCAAAAGACGGCCAUGCCAGAGAAAUAAAUUUAGCUAAUAAACAUACACAUGUUAAAAGACAUCAAGAUCAUCAGACAUCAAGAACAUAUACAAGUGUAAACUGAGAGGAGGCUUUAUCAUCAAGUGACCUUGUCUUUCCUAUUUACAUUUUGCAUUGGUAGGGUGUAAAAUGGAAGAAGAAAUUAAAACAUUAACAAUCUCUUAACCAAAGCUUUUGUGAGAAGUUCGCAAACUCAACUAUCACUCUUCUUGUAGACAUAACAAUUCUAGCUAUAUACAAAACCAUUACCCAGUAAAGGCUCAAACAGAUAUACAAAUAAAACAUUUUUCGCACAUGUCCAGAUAAUCUUAACGGACAUAGAUACGAAGGACGUGCCUUCUACUCGUAAAAUUAUUUCUUUAAUUCACAACCUUUUUUCCUGAUUCAUGGCUAUACAUGCAAUAUGAUUUACCUCAUCUAUAGUCUGCAUGUGUGAAACAAUNAUUUUUUUAACAAAUGAAUACUUAUUUAUAUAAAUAAGAAAGGAUAAAUGAUUUUUAAAUAUUCAGUUUUAAAAGAUAAUAUGUAAGUAUGGAAUUGUAUUCUCAAAUAAGUCUAAAGUUUGAUAAAAUAAGAACACAUUAUAGCAUUUUCAACCACACAAAACCCUUAGCUAAAAUACAAGAAAUCUGUGUUACACAUUAUUUGUAUUGAACUGAUAUAUUCAAUUUUAACAAACUAAAAUAUUAAUAACAUACUAUUUUUAAAUUAUAACCAACCAAUAUAGCCAAUACCAUUCGAGUGCAACAGUUUCGGCAAAUUAUGCAUAAUAUCGUAUAUAUUUUAUUUUAACAAACUAAAAUAUUAAUAACAUACUAAUUUUAAAUUAUAACCAACUAAUAUAACCAAUACAAUGUCUUGCCUUUUCAGCAAAUCAUAAUAAUAUAAUAUCUCUUAGGUCCAAUUUUAACCAAUAAUUAUAGUCAACCUCUAAAUUACUGUUAGGCAACUUUGAGUCGAAUUUGUAUUAACAGUCCAGUUUUAAACAAAAAGUAUACUUGCACUCGUACUAUAACUAGGGAGAGAUCUUCUGGAAUGAGCAACUACACAUAUAUCGGGAGAAUUUAAAAUUCAAGUUUUAAGUAGAGAAGUAAAUGAGUAAACUCAAGUUUGCAGGAAUAAAGAACAUUCAAGCUACAUUGCUCCUUUGCAUGUCAAAUUAAGAAGAAAAAAGAUCACAGGAACUCUUAUUAAGCUAUAGAACUGUUAACCAAUCCUAUUAUUUAGCUGAUGCAGGAGCUCAUCAUCAUCAGUUGUUCCGGAUUCACAUAAUUAGAUGGCAGCUGAAAUCAAGCACUCCCAACAACACAAAGCCACUGGCCGACGAACAAUGUAGCGCAGUUGACAUUGGGGUUGAUGGAGUUGAACUCAUCAGCUGACAAGGCAAAACUCUGAGCAAUGCUAAAGCAAGUAUCUCCGCUGCUCACUCCAGUCACCAUAUCACAUGUUGGAACGGAUGCUUUUGCAAGCCUCCCUGUUUUCAGAAAUACAACUCAUAAACUAAUUUGCAAUACAAUAAUAAGUGAAAUUUUGGAGAGUUACAACGUGAUCAACAUUAAUUCAGAUAAUCAAAUUAACAAAGAUAUGAAUCCUGAAGAUACUUACUGGGCAAAACUGAUCUGCUUUCAGAAAUAGCAAAGAUGAGAAGAAGAGCAAGUGUGAGAAUGAGCAGGGCACUAUUGUUGUUGCUUGUCUUGGCCAUUGCACUAUUUGUUCUUGGAGGAAAGCAGCUAAGCCAGAUAAGAUGAGGAUACUUGCUUUCUUACUUCUGUGUUAGUGCUUCCUUAAACCCCACAUUUAUACUUUACAUUGAGGAAUGCGACCAGCAAGUAAGCCAAAAAUCAUUGUUUCCUUAGAAACAUACCCGCCCUCUUGUGACGCCAUGCGAUUUAACCAAUCAGGUACGCCGAUUUGUAUGCCCAUAACAGAUAGAUGAUCCACACACAGGUACCAGACAAAUCCAAAAUACUUAGUAAAACAUUAAGUAAAAAGUCCGACAAAUAAUUUAGUAACGCAUAAAGAAAUAGUGAGUUGCAGACUGCAGUAGUCAAUUAGUCAUUUAGUCCUCUUUCACUCAUUUGCCUAAUUAUCUGUCAUAUGUCUGAUGAGAGAGCAGACGCUUACUCACACUAGAACCUAUUUGGACUGGCAUAUUUUGGCCGACUAUAUUUUUUUUGUAAGACGAUUUAAUUCAGAACUAAACACUAACGAUUAUGCAAGCAGUUAAGACCCGGUUUAGCUGCAUUAAGUAAAUAAAACAUUUAAGACCCGGUUUAGCUGCAUCAAGUAAAUAAAACAUUUAACGUGAUUCCCAGUUCCCUGCAACAUGAUUCCGAUUUGCCCACUGUGCGAAGCAAAAGUGCGACAAAACAAGACUCAAGAGUCAGUCCCUUAAUGUCAUGUUGGUUUAUGCAAAUUGAUCAUGGAACAAUGCAACUAAUAUUAAAAAUUCACUUUUUGAAGAGAAAAAAAAUUGGAAUACAUUAUCUACAUAUUUGAAGCAGUUGACAAGAAAGGUAAUCAGUGGCUCAAGUUACAAACCAAACUCCUCAGGUCUUCUUUUGAACUUCUUUAAACACACAAAAAGUCCUUCACAGUUGCAAUAAAAAAAUAUGAAGGGCCAAGAACGAUACAUUUCAAUAAUAUUACAACAGAGCAAUAGGCACUUGAAGCAACACCAUAAAGGCAUAAACAAACAAUUUAUACUGAAUCUACUCCCUCCACCUGCUGUCGAGCAAGAUAUCUUUCUCUUCUUUCUUUC